AACGAACUGCUGUUAUGUGAGUUUUUAUAAAUUUUAGUCUUUCUGAGGGCCUAAUUAAAAAAAAGAUACUCAACUUGGUUUGUUUGGAACAAUUUUGGUUAUAUGGUAUAAAAACUUAAAAAAUUAGUUUAAUGACUAAACAGCUUUAAAAAUAAUCUUUUACUACAAAUAAUGAACAGACACUAAACAAAGUUAUAUACUUAAUUGUAGGUAGUAUGUUCAGCUGUACAUAGUAUGUUUUUGUAAUUUUUCUUUAUAUCUAGAUUUUUGGAAGAUGUUAAACAACAAGAUGUAAUUCGAGAUAUUGUUUCUAAAAUUCUUAAAGACGUGUUAUUCGUUCAAGUAAACGAUGCUGUUAAAGCAGGUUGUCUGAGCAGUUAAAGAAACUUAAUCAAAUGAUUCAAAAUUCUCUUCUUUAAGCAGCCGAAGCAACGAUACUCGAAAUGCCUGGAAUGGAUAAUUAACCAAGUAAUAAAUAAACUUUGAAAUAAAGUUUAAAAAUAAAAAAUGUCUUGUUUA